AAGGGCUAAAAAAAAAAAACGAAAACGAGGUUACAUUACAUAUUCUUUUGGUCCAUGAGAAUCAUGUACCGUAUUCUAGGACACCGCUGGUUUGAGUAAAAUUAAAGUUUAGUCAGCUCACAGGUUGACAAAGCCGGUCGGCAUAUGUGAAGCGUGGCCUGAUUGCCACGAGCACAUGUUCGCAACAAGUUUCAGCACAUUUUAAUGUAAAACAAUUCCCAUCGAUGGAAGUGCCGGAUUCAAUGGAAAUUACGACAAAUCGGGACUAUAAUCAACGUGCGUACCUCAGCAGGAUGAACGGGCGUAAUGGUAGAGAAAGCGGAUGUCACCCUGGCGCAGGCAAGGAUGCCAGGAAAUACGAGAUGUCUCUAAUGCCAACCAAUCAACUCGCGACCAUCAUCGCACGUGCGUUCCGAAAUCCGCACUUCGUGUUGUUGGUAAUUUUAUUCUCUUUCACGCUCUCGAGUUUAUGACUGCUGCCUCUAUCUUAGGAAGUUUUUAGCGCUGCCAACAAAUUUCGGAACGCACCGUAAAUCAUCCAAUCUAGGGAUCCUAGGCCAAACUUUCGUUAUUAGUAGGUAACCGCACUUUUCAAACACUCAACUAAGGAGAUUUUAUUUAUUGAAAUAUUGGUAUAAUAAUGAUUACGUAUAAUAUACUUCCUGAAUCAAGUAAAUCUGUCAGAAUUGUUGUUUCUUAACUAAAAUUUCUCAUGCAUAGGGACGAAAAUAAUUUCGAGAUAUGUACUUACAUUCACACAUUGACUGUGGAAUUCUUCAGUUAUAUCGAGGUAUCUCUAAGUAACGAUUGUGUUGCACGUGAUUCUUUAUUCUACAAUAUUGAGCUACACUAAAAAAUAUGCCUGUACACGUUCACCAAUUGUAAAAUUAUAGAGCAUUAACAGAUAGAGUUAAAUUAAAUUUGUUAUGAACGUACAAGUGACUUACCAGAGUAACUUGACCUUAUAAAGUUAUAGGUAAUUUUACCAAUCGCACACAAAAAAAAUAUGAAAUUGAAACUUUAAUAUUAUUAUUAUUGAAUACUGCGCUUAAGUUGUGAAGUAACCAGACGCUACAGAACAAACUGCCCUCACAUUUAUAGAUACAAUUAAAAUGUUUAA
rnacentral:lncRNA from 1 species